CCUUAUACGGUGAAACGGCAAGGGGCUCAUUAAAUCAUUUAUCUUUUAUUUGAGGAUCUCUUGCUACGUGGAUACCCGUGGUAAUUCUAGAGCUAAUACGUGCGACAACACCCGACUUCGGGAAGGGUGGUAUUUAUUAGAUAAAAAACCUUCUCGCUUCGGCGAUGUCCCGGUGAUUCAUAAUAACUUUUCGAAGUGCAUGGCGCUUGCGCCGGCGCUGGUUCAUUCAAAUUUCUGCCCUAUCAACUUUCGAUGGUAAGAUAGAGGCCUACCAUGGUGGUAACGGGUAACGGAGAAUUAGGGUUCGAUUCCGGAGAGGGAGCCUGAUACACGGCUACCACAUCCAAGGAAGGCAGCAGGCGCGCAAAUUACCCAAGCCUGACGCAAAGAGGUAGUGACGAGAAAUAACAAUUCAGGGCAUCCGCGUCUUGUAAUUGGAAUGAUUAUAAUUUACACCUCUUUUUGAGCAUCGAUUGGAUGGCAGGUCUGGUGCCAGCACCCUCGAUAA
rnacentral:rRNA from 1 species